AAAGAAUGCGUACAAGGGAGAUAUGGAACCAACUGCAUCUCCCUCUGUGGUAACUGCAAGGAUGGACAAAGGUGUAACCGCACGACCGGCCAUUGUCAAAACGGAUGUCAAGUAGGAUAUGAAAAACCUUUCUGCUCUCAGGGGUGUUUCAACAAGACCUACGGUCAGGAUUGCAGUUCGUCCUGUGGUAGAUGUCUAAACUGGACAUGCAGUAACACAGACGGGACUUGUGUACAUGGAUGUGAGCCGGGAUUUGAGGGGGAUCUGUGCGUGACAGAAGCACAUACGGGCAACAAGGAAGGCGGCGCUCAGUCGUUGACUGGACUUAUUGUCGGUGUCGUUGUAGGGGUGCUUUCAGCUGCCGUCGUUGUCGCUGUGCUGUUUUAUAUACGACG